UUGAGAGUUUGAUCCUGGCUCAGAACGAACGCUGGCGGCAGGCCUAACACAUGCAAGUCGAGCGCACCUUCGGGUGAGCGGCGGACGGGUUAGUAACGCGUGGGAACAUACCCUUUACUAAGGAAUAGCCACUGGAAACGGUGAGUAAUACCUUAUACGCCCUUCGGGGGAAAGAUUUAUCGGUAAAGGAUUGGCCCGCGUUAGAUUAGAUAGUUGGUGGGGUAACGGCCUACCAAGUCUACGAUCUAUAGCUGGUUUUAGAGGAUGAUCAGCAACACUGGGACUGAGACACGGCCCAGACUCCUACGGGAGGCAGCAGUGGGGAAUCUUAGACAAUGGGCGCAAGCCUGAUCUAGCCAUGCCGCGUGAGUGAUGAAGGCCUUAGGGUCGUAAAGCUCUUUCGCCUGUGAUGAUAAUGACAGUAGCAGGUAAAGAAACCCCGGCUAACUCCGUGCCAGCAGCCGCGGUAAUACGGAGGGGGUUAGCGUUGUUCGGAAUUACUGGGCGUAAAGCGCGCGUAGGCGGAUUAGAAAGUAUGGGGUGAAAUCCCAGGGCUCAACCCUGGAACUGCCUCAUAAACUACUAGUCUAGAGUUCGAGAGAGGUGAGUAGAAUUCCGAGUGUAGAGGUGAAAUUCGUAGAUAUUCGGAGGAAUACCAGUGGCGAAGGCGGCUCACUGGCUCGAUACUGACGCUGAGGUGCGAAAGUGUGGGGAGCAAACAGGA
rnacentral:rRNA from 1 species